CGCGUGGACAGCGCGGCGAUUGGCGGGGCGGCGGCAGGGCCCCGGCGCGCGGGCCAAUGGCGCGGCGCGGCCACCACGUGCACAGCCUGUGGGUAAACAGGGAGCGGGGGCGGGGCCGGGGGCGGGGCCCUCACCGCUCACCCCUUCACGCCCCUCCGUGACGGAACCCGGGCGGUGGUGGCGGCGGUUCGGGGUCUUGGCCCUCGCUUCGCCCCUUCCUUUGGGCUGCCCGCCAGCCCAGCGCUCUGGGAAAGCCGUGUGCCCUUGGUGACCCCGCGCUGAGGGGAUACCGUGUCUCUCGGUGUCCCCCGGGUGCUGCCCUGGGAGAGAGGGAGGCAGCGUGGCGCUCUGGGGCGGUCUCAGCCUCUCCCGCUGACAGCCGGGCUGGCUGGGACUGUGAAGUAUGGAAAAACGAUGUGGUGCUGCUGCUCCCCCUCUGCUUUGCCUGGGGAUUACCUGCCUACAGUGUGGAAACCUCGUGUCCACACAAAUCAUGUGUGUUUCUGCACCUUGUAACGCAAAAAGCGCUCUGGUUCAAGAACUUGUUAUUACAACCCCUCUUGGUACCUGGGCAGCGAAAUGGGUGCACUCCGCUGUGUGCUGUCCCACCUGAGCACAUCAUCCAUUGGUAACUCUUGGGAGACAGAAUAAAGAAUAAAUGCAAAGCUUUGCUGUUAUGUUUAGAGGCAGAAGCUUAGGAAACCCCAGUGGGCAGUGGAAGAGUGGUGAAUGUGUCUGAGGUGAUGGGUGGGCGCGGGCAGAAUCAUCAUUCCCACAGUGGUGAGGGAACCCUCACCCACCCCAGACGUGCUGCAAACCAAAACGCUUCGAUUCCUCUGGACACGUACUGCAAUUAAUGCUGUUCUUGGCCUCGUGGCGUUUUACGGUGGCCCAGGCAUCUCCCGGGAGGUGUGUGGGGUGGGUGAUGGCUUUUCCACGGGUGACCGAGGAGUCAUUUCCUGCUCCGUCACCUGCCUGCUGGAAGCUCCUCACAGCUGCAUCUUCCUGCAUUCCUCCAUCCCUCUGGGGCGCUGCAAAACGCCGGCCUGGUGCUUCCCAGCUGACUCAGUUAAUUACUGAAAUUAGCAAAACUUGUCCUCGGCCCUUGGCUUUUAAAUAAAUAGCCAAUGAGAUAAAUCUAGGUUUUCACAGAGCGCCCGUGGUUCCCAUGAAAUGUAGUCUCAUAUUGAGAGUUCCUUCUGUGAGGAAUUUGCCAAGAGCCAGGGGAGCAGAGAUGUUACAAUGGUGGCCUCACAUCUGCUGGAACUGCACCCCUGACUGGCAUUAUCUCCACUAACUCUGCAUUAAGCAUCCUGAUAUUUCAGUCCCCUGGGGAAAUCUACUGACCUGGAGGUUCCUGAUGCAGUGGACAUGCUCAGCCGCUGUAGCAGAGCUGUGGCCAUCAGAAGCAGGACCUGAGCAGCCUCCUGCUGAUGUAACCUCAAUUUCCCACCAAGCCUGAGCAUUUCUGACAGCAGAAAGCAUUUACCAGUGGACUGCUGAGCACAUCAAGAUGGAUACAGUUCUCUUGUUGUUUGGAUUGCGAGAGCCAUCACUCUGAUCAGAAGCUGAAAUCCUGCUUUGUGCUCCUCCAGUGUGGAAAUCUGUCAGCUCCUGUGACCCCUAUUACUGUAAUACCCGAGAACAUCACCUCUGGUCGUGCACUGAGCCUCCCAGUAUCUGAAGAAAGUUAGACUUGCAUUAAUAUUAUUUUCCUCUGUUCUACAUGGAGAACUGAGGUAAAGCCAGGUCAAGUGAUUCACCCAAAGGUGCUCUUUGAAAAGGGGUCCUAGUGCUGCACACACGUGCCCAGCCUUUGGCUGGUAUUUAAAACCGAGUUCUUUUGAUUGCAGAAAUGGCUUCAAGCAAGCCCCAAACACCCAACAGCAAACCAGAUGACACGGCACAAACCACAGGCUUUUGCUCAAAAGCCAGCUGAGAGACUGAAGUGAGAAAGGGUUCUGAGUUUCAUCCCUGCUGAACUGAGGAAGAUCGUGCGUGAACUGACAUCGCUGCAGAUCCGGGGAAGGCACGGAAAAUCCGAACGGCGAGAACCUGAACUUCGGAGAAGCAGCCUCACUUUUCUCAGGAGAAAAGAUGAAUCCACAGAGUAGAUCUUGCCACAGCAGAAGGAACAUGUGUCAUGGGAACAGCAGAGGCAAAAUGUGUAAUGGGAAAAUCUUGAUGGAUUCAGCCCAGGACGCGAAUAUGCAAAUUGAGACCAAAUUAAAUGCAAUUGAGCAAGAUAACACAUAUCCCAGCAAUGAAGAAAACUCACAGCACACUCGCAAAAAAGAUGGAGUUUAAAUCCAAGGAGGGGGGUCUGAGAAUGUCUAAGCAGUCCCCAGUGACUAAAUUUUAGCAGGAAUAUGAAAAUUUCUCCAAAAAGGAGUCAGGAAAGUGUUGCAGGAAUCAAACAAGGAGUAACUGAAGUGCAAGGGCCCAUUACUCAGUGGAAGAGGUGUAACCUGCCCCCCAACACAGCAAAGCUGUUAUUAAAUAAUAAUAUAGUUUUUCUGCUAUUAAAAAGUCAUCCUGGGGCUCACUUCUGGGAUACUGUAUAUAUUUUUUCUCUUCCUGGCCUGCUCUGCCGAAAGAGGGAUUUUCAAGAGUUGCUGGUUUCCAUCUCCAAAGUAGCUCAAUUUCAGUUCCAGGGGAAAUGAAACUCUCAACUAACUUCAUUUGUAAAGUCUUUGAAGAUGUUGGAAUGUCCUCUGGCUGUAAGGAGAGGGAGUGUGAUUCAGAGCUUGGU